AUUGAACGCUGGCGGCAGGCCUAACACAUGCAAGUCGAGCGGAGCGGCGGACGGGCGAGUAAUGCCUAGGUAUCUGCCUGGUAGUGGGGGAUAACGUACGGAAACGGGCGCUAAUACAGCAUACUCGCAGAUGAGUCUACGUCGGAUGGGCUAGUUGGUGGGGUAAAGGCCUACCAAGGCGACGAUCCCGCACUGGUCUGAGAGGAUGAUCAGUCACACUGGAACUGAGACACGGUCCAGACUCCUACGGGAGGCAGCAGGGGGGAAUAUUGGACAAUGGGCGAAAGCCUGAUCCAGCCAUGCCGGGUGUGUGAAGAAGGUCUUCGGAUUGUAAAGCACUGUAAGUUGGGAGGCGUUACCAACAGAAUAAGCACCGGCUAACUUCGUGCCAGCCGCCGCGGUAAUAC
rnacentral:rRNA from 1 species